rnacentral:rRNA from 1 species
UACGGAGGGGGCGAGCGUUGUCCGAAGUUACUGGGCGUAAAGCGCGCGUAGGCGGGUGGCUAAGUCCGCUGUGAAAGCCCGAGGCUCAACCUCGGAGGGUCGGUGGAUACUGGUCGCCUUGAAGGUGGUAGGGGGAGAUGGAAUUACCGGUGUAGCGGUGAAAUGCGUAGAGAUCGGUAGGAACACCAGUGGCGAAGGCGGUCUCCUGGCCCACUCUUGACGCUGAGGCGCGAAAGCUGGGGGAGCGAACGGG